UCCAAUCAUCUUCUUCAAUUACUUUAGGUUUCAAUCAACAUUGUCAUAUUACAUGAAGUCUUCCUAAAAAAUGUACCAUGCAUCUAGUUAUAGAAGAUAGAAUAGAAAUUGUAACAACACAAUUCUAACUCUAAUAUAAUGUUAAAUAAACUCUAAUUAAACCUCAAUUAUACUAAGCAAGCUUUAAUCAAAUUCAAAAAAAUCUUAAAGAAAUUAUAAAAGAAACAAUAAAAAAUCUUAAAGGAGUUCAAAAGAAAUCUACAAUAAAUCUUAAAAGAAUCCCUAAAAAUCCUAAAGAAAUAUUAGAAUAAUUACAAAUAUAUCUUAAAUAAAGCUCAACCAAGUCCUAUUUUAAUCUUAGUUGAAACUUUAAUAGACUUCAAUCAAAUUCUAGGCCAAACUCUAAAUCCUAAGUAAAUUCUAAAUCCUAAAUCUUAAGAAAAUCAUAAAUAAAAUCCUAAAUCCUAGUCCAAUCCUAAACCCUAAUUAAACCUUAAUCAAAUAUGAAAAAAACUCUAAAUCCAAGAUCCUAAAUAAAUCCUAAAUUCUAAGCAAAUCCUAAUUCAAAUCCUAAAUCUUAGUCAAGUCUUAAAUUCUAACCAAACCUUUACCAAAUCCUAAAUCCU
rnacentral:lncRNA from 1 species